GGGGAAGGAUGAGAAGCUUCGACUAAGGUUCGAUUCGAGCGAAAGCGAGAAAGCGUUGCCAACGGCAACGACCCGAAGGGCGAAGCGCGCAGCGCUGAGUAAUCCUUCCCCCACCACCA
rnacentral:sRNA from 1 species